rnacentral:rRNA from 1 species
UACGUAGGGUGCAAGCGUUGUCCGGAAUUAUUGGGCGUAAAGAGCUUGUAGGCGGUUUGUCGCGUCUGCUGUGAAAUUUCGGGGCUCAACCCCCGAACUUGCAGUGGGUACGGGCAGACUAGAGUGUGGUAGGGGGAGACUGGAAUUCCUGGUGUAGCGGUGAAAUGCGCAGAUAUCAGGAGGAACACCGAUGGCGAAGGCAGGUCUCUGGGCCACUACUGACGCUGAGAAGCGAAAGCAUGGGGAGCGAACAGG